ACAUAUGCGCCCCACUGUUUGCAAGUAGGAGCUGAUACAGAUGCAGAUUACAAAUUCAGGACAGCAGAAACUACGGAAGAAAGUGGAAAUGCACAUGGAUGCUUAAAUGAAACGCAGUGUGAUGCUCGUCUCCCCUCAGUCUGCAGCGUUAUUCUGAUGUGAUUCCUGG